UGGGGAAUAUUGCACAAUGGGCGCAAGCCUGAUGCAGCGACGCCGCGUGAGGGAUGGAGGCCUUCGGGUUGUAAACCUCUUUUAUCGGGGAGCAAGCGUGAGUGAGUUUACCCGUUGAAUAAGCACCGGCUAACUACGUGCCAGCAGCCGCGGUAAUACGUAGGGUGCAAGCGUUAUCCGGAAUUAUUGGGCGUAAAGGGCUCGUAGGCGGUUCGUCGCGUCCGGUGUGAAAGUCCAUCGCUUAACGGUGGAUCCGCGCCGGGUACGGGCGGGCUUGAGUGCGGUAGGGGAGACCAAUUCCCGGUGUAACGGUGGAAUGUGUAGAUAUCGGGAAGAACACCAAUGGCGAAGGCAGGUCUCUGGGCCGUUACUGACGCUGAGGAGCGAAAGCGUGGGGAGCGAACAGGAUUAGAUACCCUGGUAGUCCACGCCGUAAACGGUGGAUGCUGGAUGUGGGGCCCGUUCCACGGGUUCCGUGUCGGAGCUAACGCGUUAAGCAUCCCGCCUGGGGAGUACGGCCGCAAGGCUA
rnacentral:rRNA from 1 species